rnacentral:lncRNA from 10 species
UGCUUAUUGAGUAUUCUAAUUCCCAUUGUGACAUAACUACUUGCAUACGUUCAAUAAGAAUCUUUCCUCCUAACAUGAUGUAAUUAGAAAUAUCAGUUAUAUUACUCAGGUUUUGAAUGGAAUGUCAUAUUUGAAAAUGACAUUCAUAGAAUCAGAUAUGAUCAGACAGUUUUAAGGAACUAUGCUGACUUUAUGAGGUCAAGGCUUACAAAAUCCUCUUGAAAAAAUUAGCCUGGUACCUGGCUUAUAGCAUGCUUAGCCUUACAGUGAGUAUAGAAGGUCACUUUCCGGUACUCUCAGGAACCAUAGGAUAUUUUGGAGACCUCAAGAAGAGAGGCAGUCAUUCAAUUCUGUUUUAAGCCCUGGAGACCCAGCUCUUCACUCUCACCUCAGAUCUGAGACGUGAUGCCACACCUUUUCCUCCAGGCUGCCAUGACAAAAUACUACAGAUGGGGUAGCUUAAACACGUCGUCUGUGAGUGGGUGUUUCUCACGAUUCUGGAGGCUGCACAUCUGAGAUCAAGACGUCAGCUGCCUUGGUUUCCUCUGAAUCUUCUCCUCGGGCUGCAGAUGGACACUGUCUUGCUGCCUCUUCCUCUGGUCGUCUCUGUGCAUGCGUGCCCCCAGGGUCUCUGCGUGCCCUAAUCCCUGUUCUAAUAAGGCAUCAAUGCCUUUUAUCAGUUUAAGAGGUUACCUUCAAUACCAGGUUACUGAGGAUUUUUGUCACAAAUUUCUUCAAAUCUUUCAAAUCAGUUUUCUGAUAAUGAGUGUAUUUCAGAAUGUUCUGGACCUAC